CGAAAUAUGGCGCAGUUGGUAGCGCGCCUGCUUUGGGAGCAGGAGGUCAUGUGUUCAACCCACAUUAUUUCGA
rnacentral:tRNA from 2 species